UUUCGGUUCGGAAUAACAUCGGGAAACUGGUGCUAAUACCGGAUACGCCCUUCGGGGGAAAGAUUUAUUGCCGAAAGAUGGGCCCGCGUUGGAUUAGCUAGUUGGUGAGGUAAUGGCUCACCAAGGCUACGAUCCAUAGCUGGUCUGAGAGGAUGAUCAGCAUCACUGGGACUGAGACACGGCCCAGACUCCUACGGGAGGCAGCAGUGGGGAAUAUUGGACAAUGGGGGAAACCCUGAUCCAGCCAUGCCGCGUGAAUGAUGAAGGCCUUCGGGUUGUAAAGUUCUUUUGGCGGGGACGAUGAUGACGGUACCCGCAGAAUAAGCUCCGGCUAACUUCGUGCCAGCAGCCGCGGUAAUACGAAGGGAGCUAGCGUUGUUCGGAUUUACUGGGCGUAAAGGGCGCGUAGGCGGUUUUGUAAGUUGGAUGUGAAAGCCCUGGGCUCAACCCGGGAAUUGCAUUCAAAACUACAUGACUAGAAUUUGGUAGAGGUUGGUAGAAUUCCCAGUGUAGAGGUGAAAUUCGUAGAUAUUGGGAAGAAUACCCGUGGCGAAGGCGGCCAACUGGACCAACAUUGACGCUGAGGCGCGAAAGCGUGGGUAGCAAACAGGAUUAGAUACCCUGGUAGUCCACGCCGUAAACGAUGCAUGCUAGACGUUCGAACCAUCAUGGUUC
rnacentral:rRNA from 1 species